GGAUUGAACGCUGGCGGCAUGCCUAACACAUGCAAGUCGAACGGGAGUAGCAAUACUCUAGUGGCGGACGGGUGAGGAAAACGUAGGAAUUUGCCCUUAAGUGGGGGAUAACCCGGGGAAACCCGAUUAAUACCGCAUGACCUCGAAAGAGCAAAGUGGGGGAUCGCAAGACCUCACGCUUUUGGAGAAGCCUACGUCGGAUUAGCUAGUUGGUGAGGUAAUGGCUCACCAAGGCGACGAUCCGUAACUGGUCUGAGAGGAUGAUCAGUCACACCGGAACUGAG
rnacentral:rRNA from 1 species